rnacentral:rRNA from 1 species
AUGAACGCUGGCGGCGUGCCUAAUACAUGCAAGUCGAGCGAACAGAUGAGGAGCUUGCUCCUCUGACGUUAGCGGCGGACGGGUGAGUAACACGUGGAUAACCUACCUAUAAGACUGGGAUAACUUCGGGAAACCGGAGCUAAUACCGGAUAAUAUAUUGAACCGCAUGGUUCAAUAGUGAAAGACGGUUUUGCUGUCACUUAUAGAUGGAUCCGCGCCGCAUUAGCUAGUUGGUAAGGUAACGGCUUACCAAGGCAACGAUGCGUAGCCGACCUGAGAGGGUGAUCGGCCACACUGGAACUGAGACACGGGCCAGACUCCUACGGGAGGCAGCAGUAGGGAAUCUUCCGCAAAGGGCGAAAGCCUGACGGAGCAACGCCGCGUGAGUGAUGAAGGUCUUCGGAUCGUAAAACUCUGUUAUUAGGGAAGAACAAAUGUGUAAGUAACUAUGCACGUCUUGACGGUACCUAAUCAGAAAGCCACGGCUAACUACGUG